rnacentral:rRNA from 1 species
CACGUAGGCACCAAGCGUUGUCCGGAUUUAUUGGGCGUAAAGAGCUCGUAGGCGGUUCAGUAAGUCGGGUGUGAAAACUCUGGGCUUAACCCAGAGCCGCCACCCGAUACUGCUGUGACUAGAGUCCGGUAGGGGAGUGGGGAAUUCCUGGUGUAGCGGUGGAAUGCGCAGAUAUCAGGAGGAACACCGGUGGCGAAGGCGGGGUCCUGGGCCAGUACUGACGCUGAGGAGCGAAAGCGUGGGGAGCAAACAGG